UACAGGGGGGGCAAGCGUUGUUCGGAAUUACUGGGCGUAAAGGGCUCGUAGGUGGCCAACUAAGUCAGACGUGAAAUCCCUCAGCUUAACUGGGGAACUGCGUCCGAUACUGGAUGGCUUGGAUUUGGGAGAGGGAUGCGGAAUUCCAGGUGUAGCGGUGAAAUGCGUAGAUAUCUGGAGGAACACCGGUGGCGAAGGCGGCAUCCUGGACCAAUAUUGACGCUGAGGAGCGAAAGCCAGGGGAGCAAACGGG
rnacentral:rRNA from 1 species